CCUACAAGAUCAUCUAGUCCAACUGACCUCCCAUUACCGUAGCCGCAACAAACCACUAAACCAUAUCUUGCAGCUAAAGGCUCCUCAGGUCUUUAAGUACACAGAAAUGCUUGUGAUAUGUGGUCAUUGAUGGGCUGUACACCUCUUCUAAUGCCCUGCAGUAUGGUUUACAUGGUGACUCAGUAACUAGGAUGAAGACAUCAUGUUGAGGUUGGGUGCCCUAUAUGAGAAGAUGCAGAAAAUGUGUGAGAAAGGGGAUAACAGACCUGAAAAUGGUUUGGGAGAAGAGAGAGAUAAGAAUGGAGCAGUCAGCCCUCACAUGACGCCAGGCAGGGUGCAAAGCAGGAUGUCAGAAGCUGGAGCCUCCUUAUCAAUAGCCUUAAGAGAUCCUUGAUGAGUCAGUUAGUGGAAAAAUAAGAUCAUGGGCCGGGCCCAGCCUGGGUAUGUGUGACACCUCUCUGGCUGCUCAGAUGGAAAAUCAGGACUUGGAGAGUGAGGAUAGCAUGGUGUUAUGGAAGGCAUGGCUGCAAGAGCGUUCUUUCUCCAUCUCCAUGUGUUUCUAAAAAACCAGACUGAUUCUGGCUCCUGCCAACUCAGGAUAUUCUAUGAUUCUGUGAAGAGA
rnacentral:lncRNA from 1 species